UACGGGGGGGGCAAGCGUUGUUCGGAAUUAUUGGGCGUAAAGAGCUCGUAGGCGGCUUGUCACGUCGAUUGUGAAAGCCCGAGGCUUAACCUCGGGUCUGCAGUCGAUACGGGCAGACUAGAGUAUGGCAGGGGAGACUGGAAUUCCUGGUGUAGCGGUGAAAUGCGCAGAUAUCAGGAGGAACACCGGUGGCGAAGGCGGGUCUCUGGGCCAAAACUGACGCUGAGGAGCGAAAGCGUGGGGAGCGAACAGG
rnacentral:rRNA from 1 species